UGCAAGUCGAGCGAAUGGAUUAAGAGCUUGCUCUUAUGAAGUUAGCGGCGGACGGGUGAGUAACACGUGGGUAACCUGCCCAUAAGACUGGGAUAACUCCGGGAAACCGGGGCUAAUACCGGAUAACAUUUUGAACUGCAUGGUUCGAAAUUGAAAGGCGGCUUCGGCUGUCACUUAUGGAUGGACCCGCGUCGCAUUAGCUAGUUGGUGAGGUAACGGCUCACCAAGGCAACGAUGCGUAGCCGACCUGAGAGGGUGAUCGGCCACACUGGGACUGAGACACGGCCCAGACUCCUACGGGAGGCAGCAGUAGGGAAUCUUCCGCAAUGG
rnacentral:rRNA from 1 species